rnacentral:siRNA from 1 species
GGAGACCAAGGAUAAACUGUGCA